rnacentral:rRNA from 1 species
AUUGAACGCUGGCGGCAGGCUUAACACAUGCAAGUCGAACGGUAACAGGGUGCUUGCACCGCUGACGAGUGGCGAACGGGUGAGUAAUGCGUCGGAACGUGCCGAGUAGUGGGGGAUAACGCAGCGAAAGUUGUGCUAAUACCGCAUACGUACUGAGGUAGAAAGUGGGGGACCUGCGGGCCUCACGCUAUUCGAGCGGCCGACGUCUGAUUAGCUAGUAGGUGAGGUAAAGGCUCACCUAGGCGACGAUCAGUAGCGGGUCUGAGAGGAUGAUCCGCCACGCUGGGACUGAGACACGGCACAGACUCCUACGGGAGGCAGCAGUGGGGAAUUUUGGACAAUGUGCGAAAGCCUGAUCCAGCCAUGCCGCGUGUCUGAAGAAGGCCUUCGGGUUGUAAAGGACUUUUGUCAGGGAGGAAAUCCCUAGUGCUAAUAACACUGGGGGAUGACAGUACCUGAAGAAUAAGCACCGGCUAACUACGUGCCAGCCGCCGCAGUAA